UGAGAUGUAGCUCACUGGUGGAGUGCUUGCUUAGCAUACUUAAGACCCUGGGUUUGAUUCCCCAGCAUUUCAA
rnacentral:tRNA from 2 species